GGUUAAACUGGCAUCAAAAUGGAAAUAAUUAGGCAGGUCUUGUGGUCCAUCCUUGUAAUCCUAGCACUUGGGAGGCAGAGGCAGGAGGCACAGAGGUCCAGACCAUCGUGUGAGAGCCUGUCUCAGUUCCUGCCGCCUGACCUUAGCAAAGGCACUAAUGCUACUUUCCCGUGAACAAACCAUCCUGACCAAGUCGUAAUUCAAGUAACUGCACAAGAGGCAUCUUCUGCUGAAAUGAAAACUCCGAUAUUAGUAUUAGUAAACGCUUUGUUUGUUAAUGGAGAUCAAAUGUCACUGAGCAGUCACCGUUUCCUUGAACAGAAUAGAAGCUACUUGCUGGGAAUGUAGAUCAGUGGGUAGCCUGCUCGUCUAGAAUGCAUGAAGGCCGGGGUUCGACUCCCAGCCCUGAAGAAAAAAACGGGUAUGACAGUGCAAAUUUGAAAUUUCACCGCUUGGAAGGUGGAGACCGGAAGAAGAGGAGUUCAAGGUCACCUUUGGAUGCGUAAUGAAUUUUGAGGCUAGUCUGACUUACAGGAAAGCUUGUCUGUUGUAAGCACUCCGUUCCCGGAGCGCUUUGCCCCAGGAGACUGUUUUACACGCAGCCUUUGACUCCGUUUUGAGGGCGGAUUAUGACUACAGCACCUGAUUUCUUUCCACACUGUGAGAAGGUAUUGAAUAACAAUACAUUAGCGAGGCUCAGUGGGUUCAAUGGUGGCGACCUGUCAUAUAAGCCGCCUGAUUUGGCAGUCUGGCUGAGGCAAGGCAGGUUCUCCGAUUCCACCCCCAACUGCUAAUGUUAACUCUCCUACGACACCGCACAUGCUGCUUGUGUCUGUAUAUCUAGAUGCAUGGAUGUGACUUCCAGGGUAACACAAGGUAAAGAGGUCACAACAGAGUUCCGAAGGCAUUGGAAGUGGCCCGAGAGAGGAUGACGAAAGAAGCCGAAGUUGGAGCUGCUUGAGCCAGAGUUUGGAUGUGAAGCUGGGGAGUUUCAGAUGCAAGGAGAAUGAAAGCAUCCAACUAAGGAAGCACCCAGUGGACAAAUGAAACAUCUUAAGAAAAAGGAUGAAUCAUCCAGAGAAAAUGUCCCAAGAAAAAAACACCAACCUACUUCAGAGAAGAUGACGGGCAUCUGGAGUUUCCUUUUUUUGGCAAAAGUUAGCUGCUGGGCAAGAAACUGCCCUUAUUUUGACUGAUGGAAGUAUGCUAUCCAAAUUGGACAAGCAGGACACAAAAGAGAGGACUGCUAAACUUUUUCAAAACAAGGUGUGACAGUUCUUCAAAAUUCCUGCUUCACAGAAAAGUCUGUCAGAUAUUCUAGGCAUGUAUGAUGAAGAUGGAUGUCCCAACAUUGCAAAGGAACCUUGUAUAACUGUCCAGACAACCAGAUGUUUCUGUCAUUUCUAUAGUUUUAGAAGUUGUUCUACAUUUCCUAUCUUCUCAGGCAAUAUUAUAUCCUUCUGGGGUCUCUGAUGGAGUUGAAGAGUAGUUAGUUAUAGUUAUAGUUUUCCUUGUUACCAAAUCCAGAAAAGAAACUCACAUCAGAGGUAUAAAGUGUGUAAGGUUGAGAGAUAUAAAAUGAUGGUUUUGGGUUGGUGAUACAUGUUAGCAUAGAAAGUGAAGAAGGUACAAAACUUUGAACUCACCAAGAUAGGAUAGAUAAUGGAGUAUUUUCUCUGCAUUUGUCAAAUGCAAAUGAACUGGACAUUGUGAAUGUAAUUGUUCCCUAAUAAUUGUUCUCAUUGUAAUUAGUUUUUCUGUGUCAGAGUUAAAACCUUCCCUUUUUAUUUAGACAAAAAGGGGGAAAUGUGUGAUAUUUUGAUUACAUUCUGAUGCUCCCAAGACUGACAAUAAAGCUUGUUUUGAAUCAGA